UCGUUCUUUUAUUUUUCUCGGCUGCUAUUCCUAUGAUCUCUCUAAUUGACAGUUGAAGAGAAUCAAAGAGAUUCACCACCAUCUCACUCAACGCCACCAUUGCAUCAUCAUUACCUUUUUUUCUUUAUUUUUUUUUCCUUCUUCUUCAUCCUAGAAUCAACUAAUUAAGCACAAACCAUCAUGCAAGAUUUUAAUCAGCACCUCCCUUAAGUUGAUUUUAUGUGAUUUUCUUUGUUUAUUUUCUUAUUCUGAGCAUUGGGUUCUGAUUAAUUGAUGGUGUCGACGAUCUAAGGUUGGAGUGAUAUGUAUGCUGCUGAUGCUAUGUAAGAAGAUCUAUGUCUCUAAUUUGGAUUAUGGUGUUGGAUGAUUGGAACAGUGCUGCAACAAAUUGGAUGAAAUGAUUGGAUGAAAGUUGUUGUCCUGAAUAUCAUUUUAUCAAGCACUUAUGUUGUAUUUACAUUUUAAAAAAACAUGUGUAUUCAUAGCUCAUCUUUAGUAAAAUUGUGAAUCAGAAUUUUUUGUGACU